rnacentral:rRNA from 1 species
CUUUACUGUAGCUUGGAAUUGAAUUUGGGUUUAUUUUGCGCAGAAUAGGUGGGAGGCUAAGAUAUUUUACUUGAGGGUAAAAAAGAGCCAACAGUGAGAUACCACUCUAAUUAAACUAGAAUUCUAAUCUUGAAGCCGUUAUCCGGCCAAGAUACAUUUUCAGGUGGGCAGUUUGACUGGGGCGGUCGCCUCCUAAAAAGUAACGGAGGCGUGCAAAGGUUCCUUCAGACUGGUCGGAAAUCAGUCGUAGAGUAUAAAGGCAAAAAGGAGCUUGACUGCAAGACUUACAAGUCGAGCAGAGACGAAAGUCGGCCUUAGUGAUCCGACAGUGCUGAGUGGAAAGGCUGUCGCUCAACGGAUAAAAGUUA